rnacentral:tRNA from 1 species
CCUGGUGGCUCAGAGGUUAAAGCAUCUGCCUGGAAUGCUGGAGACCUGGGUUCGAUCCCUGGAUCAGGA